GAUGGACUGAUAGAAGGGUAAGGGUUAGAGAAUGACAGAAUAGAUGGACUGAUAGAAGGGUAAGGUUUAGAGAAUGACAGAAUAGAUGGACUGAUAGAAAGGUAAGGGUUAGAGAAUGACAGAAUAGAUGGACUGGUAGAAAGGUAAGGUUUAGAGAAUGACAGAAUAGAUGGACUGAUAGAAGGGUAAGGUUUAGAGAAUGACAGAAUAGAUGGACUGAUAGAAAGGUAAGGUUUAGAGAAUGACAGAAUAGAUGGACUGAUAGAAAGGUAAGGUUUAGAGAAUGACAGAAUAGAUGGACUGAUAGAAAGGUAAGGGUUAGAGAAUGACAGAAUAGAUGGACUGAUAGAAAGGUAAGGGUUAGAGAAUGACAGAAUAGAUGGACUGAUAGAAGGGUAAGGGUUAGAGAAUGACAGAAUAGAUGGACUGAUAGAAAGGUAAGGGUUAGAGAAUGACAGAAUAGAUGGACUGAUAGAAGGGUAAGGGUUAGAGAAUGACAGAAUAUAUGGACUGAUAGAAGGGUAAGGGUUAGAGAAUGACAGAAUAUAUGGACUGAUAGAAGGGUAAGGGUUAGAGAAUGACAGAAUAGAUGGACUGAUAGAAGGGUAAGGGUUAGAGAAUGACAGAAUAUAUGGACUGAUAGAAGGGUAAGGGUUAGAG